UCUCUGUGGUGCAGAAUUUUAUCGUUCUACUUUUAGGGGAGAUGUUGCUGGACAUUUGUUUCUAAAGAAAAUUUUGGAGUCUCGGAACCCCUGUCGGAGAGACUAUGGCGCUCAACAAGAAUCACUCGAAGGGCAGUGGAGUGAUCGUCAACAACACCGAAAGCAUCCUAAUGUCCUAUGAUCAUGUGGAACUCACAUUCAAUGACAUGAAGAACGUGCCAGAAGCCUUCAAAGGGACCAAGAAAGGCACCGUCUACCUUACCCCUUACCAGGUCAUCUUUCUGUCCAAGGGGCAGGAUGCCAUGCAGUCCUUCAUGAUGCCAUUCUAUCUCAUGAAAGACUCUGAGAUCAAGCAGCCUGUGUUUGGUGCAAACUACAUCAACGGAACAGUGAAGGCCGAAGCGGGAGGUGGCUGGGGAGGCUCUGCUUCCUGCAAGCUGACGUUCAUGGCAGGGGGCGCCAUAGAGUUCGGACAGCGGAUGCUCCAGGUGGCAUCUCAAGCCUCCAGAGGUGAAGCCCCCAAUGGAGCCUAUGGCUACUCUUACUUACAUGCCCAGCGGGGCCUAUGUCUAUGCCCCACCAGUCCCCAAUGGAAUGUACCCCUGCCCUCCUGGCUACCCCUAUCCACCACCCCCGCCUGAGUUCUAUCCAGGACCUCCCAGGAUGGACGGGGCUAUGGGAUAUGUGCAGCCCCCACCACCGCCCUACCCCGGGCCCAUGGAGCCUCUGGUCAGCAGCCCCGAUGUCCCCUCCACUCCUACAGCCGAAGCCAAGGACGCCGAAGCCGCCGCCAGCACCUAUUGCAACCCAGGCAACCCUCAUAACGUCUACAUGCCCACGAGCCAGCCACCGCCACCUCCCUACUAUCCACCAGAAGAUAAGAAGACCCAGUAGGCCCUCCUGCCUCCCUGCCUCCCACCUUCAUCUCUCUAUCCUACCCCUCCUAUCAGGGCCGCACUGGGGUUGGGGGGACGGGGGGGGGUGCCUUGUUCUCCCUCCAGGUCUGAUCAUAAACAAUUACCAGGAACUACUGUGGGACAUUAAUGCCCCUGGCCUCGGGAGAGGCGCCGCCCAGCUUCCCAUGCCAGCCCGGGGCCCAUGACGCUGCCCAGCGUGCCCCCUCACCAUCUGGGGUUCUCCUGGGAGCACGGAGCAUCCCCUGUUCCUAUUUCACUCUCAUAGCUUCUCCCCUCAAAGGGACUCUCUGGCCACCUCCUCCGCUGCAGUCCAGCUCCCUCAGUCUGUCAGCCACUGCUACACUCAGCUUCAUGAGCCACUUUAGACCAGCCAGGCAUCUUCCCCGGGCUGCCAGGCCCGGCUCACAUUCCCUCCGCUGGUCUGUGCUGGUCUCAGAAGGCCACCAUGUCUGCAUUCCAUUCAGCCACCCUCCCUUCCCUUCCCUGUCCUGCGUCAUGCUGUUGUCACCUGUGUGACUUUUGAAGCUGUAAAAUGAGCUCCCAGGGCUUGGGUGGCGUUGGGGCCGGGCGGUUGAGGCUGGAAGGAAGCCCUUCUGCCUUCUGCUGGUGUUUCUGGAAUCUGCAUUCCCUCCCCUGUCACAUCCCUCUAGAAGGCGCUUCCUGACUGGAACUGAAGAAUGCAUGUCUGUCCACUUGGGGGCUGCUGGGUGGGCGGGGAACAAGGGCCCCCGACCCUGCGAGCCACCCGGGACCUGCCGCCAGCCCCCCAGCCCGCGUCUCCCCGUAAGCUUUGUUCGUGCCCCUGGACGCGCUAACACUAGGUUUGUUACUGGGCCAGCCAUGAAGUGAGGAGAUGGUUAUUUAAAGAGAAUUCCCUAUUUAUUUGACAAAAAAAUCCAGUUAACAUAUUAAUGUGACAAAAAAACCCUGUUUGCACCUUGACUUGUUUGCUGAAAAUGUGAAAUAGUAAAAGUGAAAUAACUGGAAAAGAAAAGAAAAGAAAAGAAAAAUUUGCUGACUCCUGGGAGAAAAGGGAUUUCAUUGUGUUAAUAGUUUUAUACCUUUUGCUAAAGAAUGCAUUGAUUUCCUUCAGUGAGAAUAGCGUGUCAGAAACAGUGGCUGCAAGUAGAUAUUCUUCCUGAUCAAGCAAACCAUCUCCAGCAUCAGCAAAACUAGUGAGUUAGAUGAGUGUGUAGAAGGAUCAGCAUCCCUGCAUGUUUUAGAGUUUUUGAUGAUGCCUUUCACUCUGUAUUUCUCCUAGUGGUGGAGUAUUUACCAUUUUGGCACAGAGAGAGAGAGAGAGUCCUGAGGAUUUCCAUUUAGUCCUUCCUAUCAUAAACAGCCACUACUCCAACAUAGAAGGUCUUUGUAGGGAUUCUGCCAACUAAUACAUGUAUCUAUCAAAAGUAUGCCCUUACAAACUGUGGAAAUAACCACAGAAUGUAUUUAAGGUUUCAAUGAGCCUGUAGUUAAAACUGUACUUAAUUUUCAACCACCGCAAGCUGCAAUCUGACAAUGGCAUUCUGAGUUCCAAUAAUUAGUAUUGCCUUUAUCCAGAAAAUACUCAGAAUGUUUGGGUAUUUUCUUUUCCACCAUCUGUUUACCCUGAUACAUAUCUUUCCGUCCUUUGGCGAAGUAUAGGGGAAAGAAUCUUGGAACUAUCUUCCUCAAGAGCUAACCUCCCUUUACUCAGCUGGUUCUGUGUCUGCACAAGGAUGGAAGAUAUGUAUUAAUCAUGUUUCUUAUUUCCUAUAUUUUAUAAUAUUUUGAUGUCUUAAAAAUCCUACUGGCUAGGAAAGACUGCCCUUCUCAGGAUUAGCCAACCCUCAGAAAUUGCCAAGGGCUCAGUCCUUUGAUAUGCCUUUCAUAUGCAAAUCAAUAAUCUGGGCAGUCUCUGCCCCCCAGUCACCCAGUCAAUCCACCUUUCACACACCAGACCAGUAUUCCCACUGCCCUAAAUCAGGACCAAGUUCCAGACAACUGGGCCCACCCCUGCAACCCAGAGCCUGCUGAUAUUAUUUAAACUGUUUCUCCUACCUUACAUUUCCCAAGGAAACUCCAGUGAUGGCUUUCGUCUGGGCUCUCCCCUUUCUCCUGCUUUUGCCUCUUGACUAACCCACUGUUUCCCUUGUGUCCUGAGAGGAAUAGCAUGCCCCCAUCUCUCAAGGAGUAUUAAUACAAGUAAUAAAAAACCUGCUUUCAA